UACGUAGGUGGCAAGCGUUGUCCGGAAUUAUUGGGCGUAAAGCGCGCGCAGGCGGUUCCUUAAGUCUGAUGUGAAAGCCCACGGCUCAACCGUGGAGGGUCAUUGGAAACUGGGGAACUUGAGUACAGAAGAGGAGAGCGGAAUUCCACGUGUAGCGGUGAAAUGCGUAGAGAUGUGGAGGAACACCAGUGGCGAAGGCGGCUCUCUGGUCUGUAACUGACGCUGAGGCGCGAAAGCGUGGGGAGCGAACAGG
rnacentral:rRNA from 1 species